CCUCCCACCUCAAUUUCCGUGAGUUUGACUUUGUUUGACUUCCGGCCUGUUGAGAUGAAUCGCUUACCCAGGGAGGGAGUUUCUAAAUAUGGAUCAAAUUGUUCAAAUUAGUCAAGGCGUUGGUGAGAAAUGGAAGAAGAAAUGAAAACAACUUUUCCCACAUAGCAUUACAACUACAAAGUUGACGCUGGCUAGCUAACUUAUUUUAAUUUAAAUAGUUAGUUAACAAGCUAGCAAUAGUCUUAUGUCUAGCCUGUAACUAAUGGUUGUUACGUUGUGGGACAGAGCAAUAGUUAUUUAUACUUGUCCUUUGGUUGAGACUAACAUUCGUUUAGAAAAUAAUUGUUUACUUUAUGUAUAUUUGUUGUGUAAUUGUUUGGAUUUGCUAGUUGGAAAGCUGAGAUGUGUUUGCUCAAGUUAGCUAACUUAGCUAUUCGCUCAUGUUUUAGGAGAACUGUGGGAUUCUGUAUUUUACAUUAUAGCCAUUAAUAUAUAUAUGAUUAAAUAUCAUGAUGUUGGCUGUGUGAGGUAUCUGCAUUUGUGCACUUGAGCAUCAUCAUGAGAUUAAACAACUGCUUGCUACAUCUACUUGCCUGUUUGUGUGUGUGUGACAAGAACUGAGUAACAUGGUGUGACCUGCAUGUUGCAAAACUGUAGAUAACAGCCCAGCAGAUGCUUUGUCCUUGUGUUUGUAUGUAACAAUAUUGAGCACAUGGUGUGACUUGCCCUAUCUUACAAAGUUGUGGUUAAUCAGGUAUAUGGAGAGGUGGUCAUCACGAGGUUUAACCGAGAUGGAAAAAUACUGAACAACACAAUAGCAGGACCUGAGCAACUGUUAUAACUAUACUGCGAUACCGGAACAGUAAGAAUCUAUACAUCGACGGAGGGAGGACUCCAAGAAGCGCCAAGAGGCGGGGACCCGCCUGAGCGCCUGCGAUAGGCUGAGCAAGUCUAAACCACGCUCAGCCUCUACUGUGAUAGGCCAACAGACGUUGGAACAAUGUCUAUCACAGAAUAAGAACAACUGUUUACGUACAUCCUGUCAGUUCUCUGUUCUGCCCUGCGUGGUAUUACAGUGAGCCCGUAUAUACGAAAGUUGCAUUUGCCAUUUAUUGCUUAGCUAAUAAAAAAUACAUAGUAUACAAUCGAUGACUCUUGGUCAUAUUUAUCCUGAUACCAGAUUUGAAUUUACGCAACUGUGACAGAACAGACUAGCUCCUUGCAGAAUCUUGACAAAAGAGAAUGUGGAAUAAGAUCUGGCUGUUGCAGUGCCCAGACAAGGUGAGAGCAAACUGCUACAGAGAUAAAAAGGAAUCUCCAAAUGCUAUGUUGAACGAGCACCACGGAUGAAGGAGUGGGAGGAAAGCGGACAGCUUCAUUCUACCAAACAUACAAUGUUUGCUUCAUGAAUAAUAGUUACAUCUGAAAUAAUAAUAAUAAUAAUAAUAAUAAUACAGAAAUAUUUUAGUUUAUUCUGUUUCUGUUUUUAUGCUGGAUGAGUAAUUUAGCAGGUCUGUAUUAUAAUGUAUUGUUUUGAAACGCUCAUUAAAUAUCUAUUCAGUCAAAACUCACUUAUUUUACGUUUGCUAAAAUAAUGUAUGUUUUGUACUGUUACUUUUUACAUUCUGAAACA